UGACUCAGAGCCGCGUUCACGGCCUACCGACGCCGCGAAUUACGUCCAGGUGUGCAAAAGGUAACAACGCGAGAGAACAGCGUGUCAACAAUUUUAUUAAAAUACUGAGAAAUAGGAGGAUUGAGAGCGAUAUAAACGGAGGACAACAUAUUCUGAAUCACAGCGCAUCACGACUUUUGAGGUGAGUAAAAGAGAAGAGAAACACGAAGACGCUGAGUGGAUGAUGCUAAUGCUAACAGGCUAACCGCGCUCGUGUUUAAGCCUAAUAUGCUAGUGAACAGGUACUGCUAACUGUUGUAGUACUUUAUCGUUUAUUAAAUCAAAAUGAUUGAAUUGGAGUUUAAGUUUUAAAUUUAAAAAUGUUUUUACACAAAUGUGGUCAAGUUUAACCAAAAAUGAACUCAAAUUCUGAUGAUUUAUUUGUUGUAUUUAAUGGUAAAGGCACCCACAGAGUCGAUGUUUGACACAUUUAUACUCUGUACGUUUCACCUACAGGUCCGUCAGGUACCAGCUGAGACGGCUGGUCAUUUACGAAGUUCCUGGUCCCAGGCAGUGAUCGGACGUUUACAGGAUGUUGAAAACCAUUUGACCAAUUGCAAACGAGGCCCCUCAUAUCACAGGUAAUGUGACUGGUUCAUUUUGCGUGUCGAUUUUCAAAAUAAAAGCACGACAAAAACACAGCGCUUUGUGGGUUGUAUCAGGUGGUAGUUUGGUUCGUGCGUUUGUAGCAGAGUUUGGAGUAUAAUCAGCAGUGGUAGUUGUUGAAAGUAGAGGGUUAGUUGCAGUAGAAGUAGUAGUAGAAUUAGUAGUAGAAGUAGUAGGAGUAGUUUAAUGGGGCAAGCAAGAAAGAGAAGAACUGAUGACCCCCUCCACUCCCUGCCCCCCUCCCAACAUACAGUACUGUCACCCAAACACUUCACUUCCAACACACAACACCACCUAAUGUGUUUAAUCAAUAAUGAAAACUGAUAGACAUGAAAUGCACAAAUAGAAAAUAUUGAUUAGGAAUAAUAAGGGAGAGCAGUUAUAUCAAGACUUUAUUGUUAUUGUACCGGGAUUAAACACUUCUUUGAUUCUUCUGGUGCGUUCACUGACCUGCUGGAGCCAUGACCAUCAUCCAAACCAGCAACGUACAAAUAUCAACAUAAAAGUGGAUGAUUUUUAAGGUCCCCAAAUAAACAUAAACUAAAACAAAUAAAGUGUAUUUGAGAAACCAGAAGAGUUUCAGUGUCAUGACCCUCAGAGGUCACAUUUUCAGUGGUUUAAUAAUUCAUACGGUCAUUCUGGUGUUCCUGAACGUAACUCUGCACAGAGGGAUCUUUAAUGUAACUUUCCUUUACGAGACAGUAAAUUUAUAGGUUUGGUUUACAUCGUGUUUUAACAGAUCAUCUCUCUCCAUAUGUAACACACACGUUUCUCUGAGCUGCUGAAAUACCCCAGAGUAACUCAUCCCAGAAAAUAAAUGAGAUUUUAUUCAAACAAAACACAGAUUUCUGGUAAAACAACAGAGAAAUACUUCACUGUGUUCAUGCGUCGUGCUGAACAGGAAACACGGUUGUCAUGAGGAAUCUUGACACAACUCUCAUAUUUGCGAACAGAAACACAACAGGUGGGCGGCAGCAGCUGUUCACAGGAUGAGCCGUGUUAACGUAAAUAUGAUCAGACCUGAAGACAUCAGACCGACAUCUGUCUGAGCAAAGACACUGUGAGCUCCACAACAGCUACAGAGAUACAGAUGAUGACUAGGUGAUAAAAACAAGUAUGAUUAUUAUUGUUACCAGAUCAUAUCAGACUUUAGUGACGCUCUGUCAUGGAGCUGCCUGCUCCUCCUGAAACCACACCCUCCUGCUCACACCUGUAACAUGUUUGCUAAUCACCUGCCAGUCCUUAAACCAGUCAGUCUGAGCUGUUUUUGUCAGUUCGUAGUUUGUGCUUCUGUCUGCUUCGUAUCGAGCCUGCCGGUAUUUUCAACUCUGCCUGUUCUCAGGUUUGGAUUUUGCCCUCUGACUCUGUACUUCUGCCUGGUUGGACUGGAUUUCUUUCUUUCUUUUUCUUUCUCUUUUUCUUUCUUCUCAAACUUUAAGAACAAUAACAAAACUAGAAACAAAAACAUGGAACAAAAUAAUACAUCUGUACACCAAACAACUGAACAUGUCAAAGAUAAAUUUACACACACACAUGUAUGUCAAAAUAAAGUUUGAGAAGGAACAGAAUGAAGCAGAGAGAUUAUCUAGUCCUGCCCCUUCCUUUCAAAUUAGAGAUUAAAAAGAAAUCUAAUAAUAUAAAUUACAAAGAUCUGAAUAAAUACCUUCAUAUUCUACACAAAGAUAUCUGCUCAACACCACAUAGGUUACUUAUUAUACUUAUUUGCAUAUUAUAAUAGUUGUCAGUGUUAUAAUAUCCUGAAUUAAUAUUAUUUUUAAGCAAUCAAUUAUAUUUAUUAUAAAACCAACAAUUUGUUUUUUUGAUUUUGGGUUGGACUGUUACUCGCCCCUUUAGUACGCUGAUUAAAAUUCUGUUUUGGCGUUACAUCUGUCUCUGUUGUUCUGCACUUGGGUCUCUUCAGAACUGCGACAGUUUUCUAUAUUUAGACUCAUUUCUAUAUCAGUGUAAUGUGCUUUUACAUUCCCUUUAGUGAUUUUCAAACAGGAAAAAAUACAUAAACCACGAAAACAGAUUUAUAAUAAUCACGUUAAUUAACAAAAUCCUCAGAGUAAAGAUGAACCAAUUUGCGGUUCAUUUCUCUAAUGAUGACCUGAGAAUUGAGCGGAGCUAUGAGCACUUAAAAAAGUCCAUGAUAAUUAAAUAACUGACCCUUUUUCACUCAGAUGUGAGUCUUAAUGUCUGGAGAUAAUAUCAUCAUUAUCAAGUGUCCUUAUUAUAGAAAGAUAAUGAUGUGAUAAUUGUUUAUAUUCAAUAGUAAAAGUUUGCCCAUUAAGAGCAGGUACAUUUCAGUUUUCAAAAUGAUCAUUUAAAAUAGUUUUUAAAAAGUUUUAUGAUCGUAUUUUCAGAUGAAAAGACGCUCCCUUGUUUACUCCGUCUUUCAGAGAGGUUGUGGUAGCCUUUAAGGACAAGAAGCUCCGACGAUGCAUGUUGAAUACGAUUUUCUAUUUGUCACAUUUUUACCAUCAAAUGUCUUUUAAUACAAACUCUUUCACACACAAAAAACUCUCAAUUCUUCUAACCGAUGGAUCUUGUGAUCAUUUAUUGAAUUAAAAACAUGUCACAGGUUCUGUUGUAGAAACAUGGCGGCCUGAAUUGCCUAUCAGAAUUUAAAAUAAUCUUUUUUAUUUUCAUAAAAUAAGAAAACUGUUGGGAUUUUCCGACAGAAUACUAGGGCCACAGUAAGAAAAAAACAAAUAAGACUUUGAGAUUAAAGUCAAUAAUUUACAAGAAUAAGUCAUUACCUAAGAGAAUGAAGUCGUAAUCAACUAUUACUAUACUGAUGAUAAUGUGGUGCUGAUGUGCAAAGAGAUUAAAGUAUCUCCUUGUUUGAGAAAAAUAUAUUAAAGUAGAUUUUCACGAAAUGCUUCAUGGCUCUAAUUUCAACAACUGUCAUCUUAAACAGGUGAGAAUAUAAGGACUUUAUUCUGACUUUAUUCUCAUAAGUUAAUGAAUUUAAUCUCAAAGUCUUAAAUUAUUAUUUUUUUUAAUGUGGCCCUAAUACUGCGUCUUAGGAUUUAACAUUUGAUACAUCGUCUUUUUUUUUUACUAUUUUUAAGUAAAUUUAUUCUUUAAAUUAUUUGCAAAUUUCAAUCAUUGUAAACGUCAUUCUUAUUAUUUUAUUAAUUUAGUCUGUAUUUAAACUAACUGAUAGUUUCCCAGCAUCUCAGCUGUUGCAGUUCCCUCAGCGGCCACUGUGAGGCAGUCUCGACACACGUAUGAAGGGAGAAUCUGCAGAGAAACAAUCAGGCUGUUGUGAUUCUUGUUUACCAACCAUGGCUCCAGGGUCCAGCUGAGCCUGGCUGGAGUCAAUACUGAUAAUAAUAAUAAUAGUAAUAAUAAUAAUAGUAAUAGUUGUAGUGUUUUAAUGACGUCUGCUGGGGUUUGUAGUUUAUUUAAAAUUGUUCAGACUCUCUCUGUUCUCCUGCUCCUCUCUUUUAUUCUUCCCCUCUUCUCUCUCUCGGCUCGUUUCCUGCGGCUCUCUCCUUUGACAGGCAGGUGUGAGAGUGUGAACGGGCUGCCCCGGAGGGGGAUAGACACUGACCCCAAACCGUGAGUCUCCGGGCCCGAUCAGCCGGAGCCUGUUGUGGGUGCUCACGUCCGCAGACAGCGGAGAGAGCGGCCCCACGUCAGCCCUCAUCAGCUUUAUUUGAGAGGAUCCUUUCGCCUUAAUUAGCGCAGGAGGAGAAGGAGCGCCUCAUCUUGAAGGGCUGAUGGAGGGUGGGAGGGUGAAGGUGCUGCUGAGGUGUGGGUGGGGGUGUCUGCAGUUUGUCUUUUAGGGCACACAGUUCAAUUCGGGCUGUUCAACAGAGUUACGCUCAUGACUUCCUGAAGUGGGCCUGCUGGAGCUGGCUGUGAUGUCCGUUCUGUGUGGUUGUUAAGUGAAAUGUCAGCGGUGAACUCCUCAAACAGACGGAUCCUCAGACACGAUUUGAUGAAGGAUUUGAAACUGCAAUCACGGCCAAAGCCCUCCGCUGAAUCGCAGCAUCUCUGGACAAUAACAGGAGUCACUGUAUCCCCCCCACCAACACGCCAUCUGAGCUAAAACUGAAGGUCAUCUCCAUGGAAACUUUGCUGUUUAAAUUGGAGUAUGUUUAAUCCCAAUCCUCCGGCACCUGAAGACAUUAUCGCCGCAAAUCCCUCCGCCAGUCAUCAAAGCGAUGAGCUGGAUGCCCUUUAAGGCCGGCUCCAACCAGGCGGCUGCAGAAAACCGGUUUCUAGGGCUGCUCCUAAAAUACACCCGACAGACCUCAGACCUCCUGAAUGUCCCACAAACGGACGGAUCUGUGAUUGGUUUGUUUGCAGCGAGGGGAAGAGUGUUCUGCUGUUAUCGGAGAGGAUUUAUCCGUUUUGUUUUUUUAUUUUAGUGUCCGAGAAAGAUUGAAAUCCUCCAAAAAAACUCACCUGCUGUCACAUCAUGUUACCAUAAGUUUGUCAAUACCUGCCUGUUAGUGUUGGGCGGAAUGAACAAAUCUUAUAUCAUGGUAUGAGUAAUUUCAUAUCACGGUAACAGUAUAUAUCACAGUAUGUUUUUUUUUUCCCUGUAAAUUCAAUUAAUGUUUUAAAAAUAACCAAACUGUCUCAUUUGUUAAUUUUCCUUUUAUUGUCAGACCAGUCUGGCGAUGUUCUAUCAUAUGGCGUACCUUUGGCGAAAGACUCUGCCGAGCUCUUUUGUCUUAGAGGAGUUUUCAUCUUUAGGUUGUGGAAGAGGUUUCUGGUGUUUCCACCUCCAACAACGACAGCCACACGACACUCUUUGUAUAGUUUUAGUUUUUUGAUCACUGUCGGAUUUUCUAAAUCCGAAGAAUCUCCAGACAACCGAUGUCGUGACUCGCACCCUUUUUCGAAACGAGUUCCUCCUCUUACACGUUUGGUGGGUCGGGCUGCCUCCGUUUGUUCGGUACUGCCACUAAUCUCCGCCCCCGCCAUGACCACCACUAGUGAAGCUGUUUCUUCUUCACACGCUGGUGAUUAUAGGGAGCGCACCCGAACCUGACUAAUCAAACGGAGCGAACAAACUCCGCACGACACACUGGUGAAUAUACGGAAACGCACAAAACAUCUGCUCUCUCUCUCUCUCUCUCUCUCUUCGGUAUAAACUGUAAAGCAAAAUUUCUGCCUGUAGACACUUUUACACCGUCACACGGUGGUGGAGCCAUUCUUUAGUUCACCUGUGUGGCGCUGUGGAGAGGACCAAAGGACAUUUAAGGUGCCCACAGAUUACUAGAGGUGUUGCUGUGGGAGCAAAUGAUAGACGAUAGAUUUGAGGAAAAGAAAGCAAACUUGUUGAAAAACAGGAUGCAGGACACGGCCAGCGAGGUCAUGUCGACCUGAACUUGUCACACAUCGAAAUUUGGCAGAACCGGCCAGCGAGCAAAACAUGUUUACAGAAGAAGUGACUUUGUUGGCUGUCAAACACCAACGUGAAGGCCACUUACGGGAAGAUAAGAACAACUACUGAUGUUAUUGGAGUGUAUAAAUUGUUUGGGAUUGUUUGGCUUCUGCUGUCCGUCUGAUUGUCAUGAGCUGUGGUUGAUGCUGGAACGAUAAUAAAUCCUGCGAGAGGCUGCCAGCUUGAUUCUGUCUUCGUGAAGUUCAUUUUUGCACCUUUGCAUCUAUGAAAUCGACCAUAUUGCGCCCAAGAAGCCUUUUGUUUUUGGGACCACAGGCUGGCGGCUGGAAUUUGUUUUGGAUUGAUUGGUUUAUGGUGCAAAAGAAUAAACGGAUUGGUAUAUCCAAAUCGAGUCUUUUCUGCCUACAGAACUUUGAUUGUCUUAAACUUAAUGGAGCAAGUAACAAAUGGACACUCAGUGGACAAACAAAAACUAGCUGAGGCUGCGAGUGAAUAACAGGUACGUCACCACACAGUAUAUACCGUCAUACCGCCUAACUCUUCUGUCCAUCGUGUUACAUAUGUUUACCUCCACUAUCUAGUUUAACUAGAAAGUUGAGGUGAAGGGGGUGACUCACGAGGCCGUCAACAUUAAUGUUGGGACAGUGAACAUCUCAUCUUGGAAACCCUGGACUGGAGGUUCCUGGACUUAAAGAGUCUCUCCAACCUCAUUGAAACAGAGACCUAAACCGAGGAGUUAAAGGAGCUGAUUGGUGGUCGCUCUUUCCUCGACUGUCACUAUUUGGCUCAUCGUCCGGCGUCUUUAUGAGGACAAAGAAAAGCUUCGUUGAUAACCACCGUCUUUGUUCCAUGAUCUGUGGUUUGAGAUCUGGUUUUUGCUGAUCCAGGAAACUCAAAGGAAGCCUGAGUGUGGGGGACUUGAUUUGUAGUCGACUCUCUUCUGUUCGUCUUGGAUUGAACUCCGAUUGAAAGGAACCGUUUUCUCUUGUCCGGACUGUCUUGGCAGUCCUGAGCUUUGGAUUCAGUCCCUCUGAGGAAAAACUACCUCGACAAGUUGUGUGUCCAGACUGGAAAUCUACUUAAAAACCAUCGAUCAGCUGCUCCCGGCGCGGUGACAGCCGAUAGCCCUGAUUGGAGCGGACACGGCGACCAGUGGUUGAAAACAAACAAACACAUGCGAGCUCAAAGACGGCGCGGCGCCCAACAUCAAAUACUUGUGCCAUUGUGGGGAGGGAACAAAAGCGCUCGGGGGGAAUGAGAGCGUGUGAGACGUUGGCUGUGUUUACAAGCGCCCGGGUCCUGGCUGGUCGGCCCGGGUUCACCAAACGGUCACCGGUUCUGAGGUCUCCGGGUCUCAGGUCUUUUUGAAAAAGAUCUGUGAAGCAGAAUUAAAGUGAUCUACCUCCGGACUCCGGACGGAGAACCAUGAGGGCUUUUGGGUCUUUGAAACGGGGGAGAGGAGAGAGAGAGAGAGAGGGGGAGAGAGAGCAGGGGGGAGGAGGAGAGAGGGAGGGAGCCGGGGGGGAAAAAGAGGAGAAGAAGAAUUAUGUUUAAUGAGUGUGUUCCUCUGCCUGAGCUACUUUGAAAUGUGACUAAAUGGCCCACCUUCUGUGAGGCCGGACCCUGGCUCGAGGGCAGAGAGGAGCCCACCGAGAGAGAGAGGGAGAGAGGGGGAGAGAGAUGAGUGUACAGCCAACAGUCCCUCCACUUUACCAAGGUAACAGCAUGUGGAGGUGAAUCAGGUCUCUGUACACUCUGCCUCACACACAGUUUGUGCACCAUGCAUUUAUUUUUCUACUCAAUGCAAAAGUUCACAACAUGAACGAAUCAACGCCGGGGUCAUCGAGCGCUGAGAGAAAACAUGGAGUUCCCCAAAAACAAGACAAGAGCAAAGAGAGAGCAGGACCUGCUGCUCGGUGUCUGUCAGGAGGUCAGAAGGUCACAUCGUUAUGCUUCGACCAAUCAUAGACCCCCGAAUGUCAUGACGUGUUUGGUUCAUUUAGUUUUUUUCAUGGUCCGUUUUGUGUAUUUUCUCGUGUUCCUGUUCCCCUGUAGUCCAGCCUUGUGAGUUCUCAGUUUGUCUUUGACCCUGUUUCCCUCCUCUUCUCUGUGUUUUAUUCUCACCUGUUGCUCGUUUGCCUGUCUGUGUAUAUAGUCACUGUCUUCUCCUCUGUCCUGGUUAGUCCAUUGUGUGUCUGUGUUUGUCUGUAGGUCGAUGUCAGUGUAUGUUUGGAUCCUGGUUAGUCUCCUUGAGUUUUUUUUCCUUUUGGAUUUUAUAGUUGGACACUUCACAGGAACAAUAGUGAACAGAAACACACAGAAACACGAAACCAGGAGAAAACUAAAUCAACUAAAUUUCAUGACAGUUAAUUAAAGAGGAGCACCAGUUUCAACAAUGCCAUGAUUGUCAGAAGGUUUGAGGUGGAGAUCAGUCAGAAUCUAUGUGCAUAGAUGCUCACAUCACUAUUUAUAUCAACAGAAAAAGGUUCAGUUACAAAAACAUCGACAUUUGGAGCCGUAGACACCAAACAUGAACAAAAUCAUUUCCAUGUAAAGUCGGUUCAAAGACGCUUUAGAUGAAAAUUAAGUGAAUUACACACAAAAAACACAAACUCAUGCUGCGUUCAAGGUUCUGGUUUCAUUCAGAUCUUAGCGACAGUUAAAUGAUCGGAAAUCAGUCGUACUGCGAUAGCCAAUCAGCACGGAGAGUUAUGCAGUAUGUUUCUAUGACACUCAAGAAAACCGAAUUAUCGCCUUAUUCCGAUUAAGACCCAACAACUGAAGGUCAUGUAAACAUCUUAGUCCGACUAUAAUCAGAGUUUGAGAACUUGGGUUAUGACGCCCAGAUAAUGCGACUCGAAUUCGAUUUUCUCUACCAUGUCACCAGCGUAGUCGGAGUAUGAUCAGACAAUGCAUGUGUGCGUGCGCCACACCCCCAUAACCCGGAACAAAAACCCCAGAGUAGAGGAGUAGCGUUGGUCUCCUCUUUAGAAAAAGUAGCGCGUCCAUCAUGUCGGACAAAAACAACGCUGUACGAUGCUCCAUCUUCUUGCAGCAGUUGUAGACACUUCUGACGUCUGACACCGACCUGCUGUUGUUGUUGACGGUUGGAUGGGGUCGGAAACAGCGCCGCUGAAAAGACCCAUAUCGCCCCCUAGUGUUGGGGAGGAGGACACGCUCACGUCAAUAAUUUGAUUUUCUCAGCUGUAUGUAAACGAGGACGAGGAGAGAAGUCCGGUUUGGCCAAAAAAAACGAAUGAACCUGAGCAUGUAAACGCUCUGAUGGUGACGGAGGUCAACAAUGGACCAAUGGCGGUUCAUUCAUCUUGACAGUGGAGGACAAACUUAAGGCGACCUUAUGAGUCUACCUGAACUAUACGAUAUGACUCCUUGUUUCUAUGGAAACAGAUCCUCGUAGUGACAUCAUUGAAAAUUAGGGAGCGUGAUAGAUUUAUUGAUUUAUUUUCAGAUUAAGUAAAAGGAGAUUACCAUGGUAACCUGCUGUUUUAGUGCAGGUAUUAAUUAAAAUAUGAAUUGAAAUGGUUUUUAAGAUUCUCAUCCAAACAGAGUCAUGGACAUUAAAGAAAAGAGCUUGAAAUGAGAGAAAUUGUUCCUUUUUGACUGUCUGCCUUUAACAAUAAUGUGGUCUGUAAAUAAGCUCAGGUAUAAUCUCCAACACACUGGUUAUUUGUUUGCUCUUCCAAUCCCUCUAAGCGUUUCUUAAAUGAAAGAGUCGGUAAAGACGCCGCCGCUCUGCCAACAGAUUUCUUGAACAAUAUGAGCAAUGUACCCGAUAAACAACACAUUUCAGAUGUCAUAACUAAUUAUUGGUGGAUCAAUUCCAAGUAAACACGCUUUGAGCCAACAUACAGCAUCGACUCCACCAUAUGUUCGCCGCGGUUUUCACCUCCUUCCCAGUUUGUGAAGAAGAAGAAAGUGUUUACAGCAUUUCUGUUUCAGAAGCCUAUUUUUGUUCUCCCCGCAGGAUGAGCGGGACGGUAUAGAGGGACGAGCUGUUAGUCGAAUUAACCACACUGCUGCUACUGCGGCGAGGCGGCCGAUUCUGAGGCGUUCACAGAAAUGAAUGUGCACAGAUCUGUUGGUUUUUAAUGGUUAUUAUGGUCAAAUCAGCAUUUAAACAUUAACCAUGAUGCUGUUAGGGUUUAGAAAUUUGUCUAACAACCAUAAUAUGAAUUUUAGAUUUAAUCACAAACAGCCAAAAUCAGACUUUAAACCAAGAAGUCUGUGAAAAAAAAACACGUCAGGAUUUCUACUUAAAAAUCAGAAUUCAGAUUUAGAUUUCAAAAUAUUGAUAUGAUUUAUAUAUAUAUAUAUAUAUAUACAUAUAUAUAUAUAUAUAUAUAUAUAUAUAUACAGUCGUGGUCAGAAGUUUACAUACAGUGCAUGUUCCUACACUAAAUCUCGUGCUAAAUUCAAGUUACCAACUUGAAUCAUAAAUAAUCUAGCAUCCAGGAAGCCCUAGGAUUAAUGCUUUUGGGAAAUAAAAAGAAAAGGCAAAAAUUCCUCAUAAUUCAAGAUUUAUUGAUAUUUCUUUGCAGAACACUGCUUUGUUAUUGGGUCAUAAGUUUACAUACACCUUUGUCUUCAGGGCUUAGUACUUGGUAGCAUUUCCAUUAAGUUUUAUAACUUCAGCAAGUCGCUUUGGAUAGCCAUCAAUGAGCUUCUCACAGUAAUCCUUUGGAAUUUUUGACCACUCUUCCUGGCAGAUUUGGUACAACUCAGUCAGAUUUGUUGGUCUUCUCUUACGGACUCGUUUCUUCAGUUCACUCCAGAUAUUCUCGAUAGGAUUGAGAUCAGGGCUUUGUGGAUGCCACUCCAGUACUUUCACCUUGUUCUGCUGAAACCAUUUUGAAACUAAUUUUGCAGUAUGUUUCGGAUCAUUAUCUUGUUGAAAGAUCCAAUUUCGACCAAGCUGCAGAGAUUUGACUGACUUCUUGAGGUUUCCUUGCAAUAUUUCCAAGUAUUGCUCUUUUCUCAUGAUUCCAUUGAUCUUCUGGAGUUCACCAGUUCCUGAUGCUGCAAAGCAACCCCACAACAUGAGACUUCCUCCACUAUGCUUGACCAUGGGGAUGGUAUUGUUGGGAUUGAAGGCUUCACCCUUUCGCCGGAAAACGUACGAACGUCCGUCCAAAACCCCGGACAUUUGAAGGAUUUUAUGAACUCCCCGGACAAAGCCAGACAGCCCCCCAAAAGAGGACAUGUCCAGGUAAAAGAGGAUGUAUGGUCACCCUUUGUUUAUAUAAAGUUGACAGAUAUAUGUAAAGUUGACAUUCAGACUUUUGUCUUAGUACCUACAGAUUAAACUCAGAGUUCUGCUAAAAAAGUCAAAGUUGAUAAAUCCGCUCAGCAUUUAUUUGGAGAGCCACUCUCAGAGUAAAGAUAAUUAAGUAUAAUUUACUGCAUUUAUUCCAAAGUCAAGACUCUGGUCAGACCUGGUCUGAUCACAGUUAAGUAUUGAUAGUCUCUGUCAUGUCGGUCAAGUUUUUCUUUUAUUUUUCACUAAAUUCAUGUUGGUUAAGUUUCCUUUAUUUCUGCACGUUUUGUUUCAUUUCCUGUUUUAUUUUGAAAUCUCUAACCCUUGUUUUUAUCCUCUAGUUUUGUUCCUGCGUGGUCUGCCCCGCCCCCGUCUCAUCACACCUGACUGCCUUAUCGUGUACCGACCUUUACCUGAACUUCAUAAAACCAUGUCUGUUUAGUUAGUGUCUGUGUGACUGACUGAACAGGUGUCUUUGUUGUUGUGUCCUCCAGUCUGUCCUCUGGUUUUAUCUGAACUUUGGAUCAGGGUAUCAUAAAUAUAAAGACACAAACUGAAUAUCCUGUUUGGGCUGAAAAUACAGAAAACAAACUUCUUUAUUUUUCAUGGAAACUUUAAAUCCCCACCCUGGUCCUGACCCGCCUGAACAGGUCCUGCAGUUGUGGACCCGUUUGCCUCCUCCUGCUCCAGCUCUGAAUCUCAAUCUGACUUUUAUUAUCAUUAUCAUAAUUGUUAAUGAGAAUCUAGGAGCUGCUUUAAUUGAUAGUCUCAGUCCUCGUCCGAUUACCUUCAUUAUAGUUAUUAAUGUUUAUGUUGGACCGAUCAGCUGAUCAUCAUUCUUUGCUGCUUCAGUGAAAAUCACACAGACUUUGACGGUUAUUACCGACACUGUAGCAUAAAUCUGUUUUAUCUGUUAUUAUUGUUUACCUCUCUCUCUAUCACAGUCACAGAUGGCUGUUAAACACCAGUCUGGUUCUGCUCGGAUCUGCGCUACUCUCUGAAUGCGGAGGAGUAUUUUUUACUCAUGGUGGUUGACAAAGGCCCCGUUUAUACGUACUCGCUUGUUUUUAAAAACGGAGACAUUAACCAUUGUUUGCACCCUUUGUUUAGACGCAAACAGAGAAUUUGCCCCUGAAAAUGCUGCUUUUUAAAAACCCCGGCCAGAGUGGAGCUUUUGGAAAAUUCUGUUUGCACGUAAACUGAGAAAAGCUAACGGUUGAUUGUGCGCAGGAAAGAAGAAAGUGACGUUGUUGUUGUUGUUGUUGCUAGGACUGCUAGGAGGAUGUGGGAUUUUGAUUGGCUGCAUGCUAGUGGUGUGCAUGCAGUUGUUUUUUGUAAUCGGAGAGGGUUAAAUGUCUGUUUAUGAAAAUAGCCGGACACGUGUAAACGUAGUCUCAGUGUAGCUGCUGCCUGCAGGACUGUCACAGCAGGAUGGAUGGAUUAGAAAUAUGGCACAGCUGCUGAUAAAGACAUCUUAACAUUAGACAUCAUAUACAACACGUGUGUGUGAUUAUAUUUGGAAUAAUGAGUUAACAAUAUCUGCGGCAUAUUUGUGAUAAAGUGCACUUUGAUGCAGCAGCUGUAAGUAAUCAUCACUGACUAGUUACGUCAGCUUUUUCAAUCUGUACAUAUUAAGCACAUAUUUCCUUUCUCCGUUUCUUCAAUUCUUCUUCUGCAGCUGCUGCAGGACUGUAAUGACUACAUGCAGCUUCUUAAUUAGCUUGACGAGGAUCAGCAGAUCGCAGGAGGAACACACACGUGUGUUGUGGCUGCAAAUAGAGCAAAAAAUAAAGAGCUUGAUGGCAAAGUGCUGAAAAAAAAAACUUCAUAAACUGAGAUGAGUGUUUGGGUCAGAGUCUGUGGAAAGCUGUAGUCCAGCCUGUACCAUCUAUUUUUAACUUUAUCACUGUCGUUUAAUUCCAUAAUAUCUCAUUAAAGGGAAAGAGUCGGCGUGUAAACGAGGCUACAGCUUUCUGCAGACUGUCCAACUCUGCUGCUUAUUUAACUCAUUUUGGGACACAAGAUGACACAAAACAGAUGCAACAUGCUCUUCCACCUGCGGCGCUCUAACUGCUUGCUAGCUUGUAGUCCUGGCUUCUGCGUGUCUCCCCGUAAGCAUCAACUUCAUUCCAAAGACGUCAGAAAUGUACAAAUAAAGACGAUAAAGCAGGAGAAACAUUAACAUUAACCAUGUGUCUCCAAACUGGUCCAAAUCAUAGACUGUAUCUAGAAUGGACGCUGUCUGCCUCUUCGCUGGGUGAGAACAGCACCCCCUGGUGACGGGCUGCAGUAUAGGUCAUAAACCCUGCCUCCUCCAGCAAUCUCUAUGGAGCUGCUGACAAACUUUAUAAAUUAAUUACAAAGAAUAUGAAUUUUACUCCCCCCUGGUUGCAAUGUUGACGUGUAGUUACAGUCAUACAGUCAUCAUCUACUCGGAUAAUUCGCACGAAUCUAGAAGUGUGAAUGCAUUUUCUUUGCUUGCUUCACUCGCAUGUCAACAGUAAUUUCAACAGGAAGUCCCUGCCAAUUAAACCGGCGGGAAUUAACCAGAUAAUCCGACCUCCUCACUUACUUGCCUCCGGGCGAGCUCCUUUUUAUUCCGGUUUUGGGAAUUGAAAGAAAAGGUAUCAUACCACACACACCGACACAAUCUGUUUGUUCUCCAUUUUAGAUACCAGUGAACAACUGGUUAUCGCGAUGCAAAUAUCUGCUCAAGUUGAGACAUUUUCAGCUCCCGCCCACUAUGUGUCAUUCACGCCUCCAGAGUAGUAGGAGCGUCUAAUCGCAUCUUUGCAUUGACUUAACAUGUAAUUCAUUUGCGUGAAUGAUUUUACUUGCGCUUGGGGUGUGGAGACAGUAAAACUAGUUUGUGCUCAAGUCCUCUUUUCCUCCAUUUUUAAAAGUUAUUAGGGGGUUCAUGUUUUCUAUGAUUGACACCUGAUACAGCCUAUGGGAGUACAGAGAUUGCGUAGCUCACCCGGGGGAUACGCUGUUUGAGCCGAGCGUCAUCACGGCGACUCUCCCGCUGAAUUCGUACAACGCUACCGUGCAAGUGGUGGUUCCAGGAAGAGCAAUUCAGCUUCGAAUUCAUAUAAUGACGAAUAAAGGCGGAGCUAAGUUGUCCAUAAUAGAUACAGUCCACGGUCCAAAUAUCUGCUCAGGAUUCGGCUCACAGCCCAUGUCUGAACUUUCUUAAAGCGACAGUAACCCUUGAGCAGUACAUCCAAUAAUAACACUCCAUCCAUUACAGCAUUGCUGCUUCAAAACCACAUUUUAAACCUCUAAAUUAUAAGCUAACAUUAUAAACUAUGCACAAAAACCAUAAAUAAAAUAAGCCCUGAGUUUGUCCUCGAACACUCGCUUUAGUUAAAACCAGUUUGUGCAGCAGAAACAUCAUGUGUCCUGCAGGGAUCUUUGACAUGCAGCUGCAGGAGGGAGACAAAGUGACAGAGAAUAAUGUGAUUUACUGUCCAAAGUGCAUCCAGAGGAUUUGACUGUCACAGCGUCCAUAACCGACACACUUUUGUUUGCUGAAUGAAAUAAUAAUGUUCUACUUCUAGUUCAGCCCAGUCCUGUUGUCACUUCAGUUUUAUUGGAACAAAUCUUUGCACAUGCAAAAACAGAACAUGUCAAAAGGACAGGCUUGGUUGCACUAAAAGUCCACAAAUAUAAAGAGAGAGGGAGAGCGCGGUCCUCCUGAGACGGUAGCAUGGACUGUGUUGAGGGAAGAGAGAAAGGAGGUUAACAAAAGAGAGGAGUGGAAAGCAGAGCUCGGAGCCAAAACCAAAUCACAUCAGUAACCGCUGCGCCCCGGGGUGAGGGCAGGCUCAGUCAGCCGUGCCGUUCAACCGGGAUAAUUAGUUUUGGAAAGGAAUAUCAACUGAUAUAAUUGAGCAUUCUCCGCUAAUGAAGAUCCUCGGUGUUGUCACUGGUGAGGCGCUAAUUGACGGGAAAGGGAUGGAUUGGGUGGGUGCAGGGAGGAGGGGGGAGGCUGUGCAGGAUAUGAUGGUGGAAGUGCCGCCGGAGCUGGCGAGCCGAUGUUUUUCAGGUUCCACGGAUUUUAUUUAGUCGUCAGUGAGUCACCGUCUGCUUUCAUCCGGCUUGUUAGCGUGUUUACGACCAGCUCGUCUCUAACUUCUGCCAGGAGAUGAAAGACAAGUCGCCGCAGUUACGACAGAUAAGAGCCGCGCGGGAGGGGGCGGGGUCUAGAGGAAUCACAGGAGUCCACAGGAUGGGGGUAGAGCGGGUUUAGGGGUUGCACAGGUCGCGUUGGGAGUUUCGAUUGAGGGAAGCAGAGGGUCGAGGAUUUGCGGAGGGAGGGCCGAGAGGAGGGGUGGUGGUGGGAUCAGUUGAGGGAAUAAUAGGAAAGCAAAUUGGUUUUGACAAGUUUGGGGAGCUGGAAGUAAUGAAGUCCUUUAAAAGGGGAGAUGAGGGAAUAUCCAGCAAAACUAUGAGAUAAUCAGGGGAACCGUUCAGGGGAGGGACUCGAGCCAAAACACGGGGCCUGCUGGUGACCUCGAGGAGCCUGUGGGACAGGGUCAGCGCUCCUGUCCGGCCUGGAGGGGGCGACGCUGUGAAGGAAGAGGUGGAAAAGUGAAAGCUGGGCUGUUGUGUACGAGGAUUUUCACAGUAACCUUCAGGUAUGAAUAAAUCAAACGAAGAAAAGUUUCAUUAGAGCUUUUUUAUCAGGAUGUUUCAAACAUCCUUGGAAACUCAGACACAAAGAGAAGCUCUGCUCGGUGACAGACAGUCAGAUAUUCACAGAGCUAGACAGACAAUUCACAUCAAAUCCUCCAUCAAACAGCGCAGGAAUCAGGCGUCUAUCCCAACAGCAGGCCAUCUGCCAGAUCAGCUCCGCCGGCAGCCAGCGAGACAGAGCGUCCGCAGCAGCCAGCGUGGAGACAGACUGACGCAGAGUGAGCAGCUGAGGUGUUUGAACACAAACAGAGGAUUAACGGAGUUCUGGGCACAGAGGUGACGGUAAAUAAAACACCAAACAGGCCCACGCUGCAGGACGGCCGCUCCAAACACUCCAGUGAUUUCACACUCAUUUUAAAUUAAUGUAGGUGGGUGAUGGAGUCAUCCUGCAGCUUCCAGCUCUCCAGUUCUUUCUGGAGCGGCUUCAAAAUGCAGAGCAGGAAUCGGUGUUGGACUCAGACGGGGCGAUGGAGGAGUUCUGCACAGAAGAGGCAGAGGCUGAUCUUUCCUUCGCCUGAAAUUGGAAAUUCCUGGCGGUGUCAACAAGAAGGAUAAACCGUCAAGAUAAAGUCAAAUAUUCAGUGUUCGUCGGCUGACACCUGCACGCCUCGAUCUCGCUUUCAGAUAAUGCCUCGUACAACAGACACGUGGAAGAGUGCCGCCGCCACAACCCCGUCAACCCACAAGUGUCUGAUCUAGGAGGCAAUUUACUGUUUUUGUCAAGCUCGGUGAAAUCUGAACGGAAAUAAAACUCACACACACGUACGCACACACAGACACACACUCCUCUUUGACAAACUGCCACAUCUCCUGCCAGAUCUCUGUUCAACAUUUGCUCUCGCCCUGCGUUGCGAGCUUCGCUGCGCUCGGACACCUGGACCAAUAAGUCUAACAAUUGAAACAUGCACAGGUCCAAAUGUGCACAAAACAACAAGUCGCUCUCUUAUUUGGAUUUAUUGAAGCAGCGGGUCGGUGUGGUACCGAGUCCAGGAAAGAGCAGCAAACCCACUCUGAACUUUUAUCAGGAGAGUUUGAAUCAACAAAAGGCAAUUCAGUGAGAAACAGGUCUGCGAUUACUCUCCUCAGAGGAAACACGACUCCAGUCUGAGCGUGUGAAAGGGUGAGCGGAGUGAAUCUAACCAAGACUGGAUGGUCCUGACCUUCAGGGCCUCAGUAAGCAUUAAAAACAGACAGGACUCUGGAGUGGAGGUCACCGCAUGCUUCACAAAACUCCUCAUAAGCGUGUUUUUAUGAGAUACAACUGUAGAAGGAUUUGAUACGGCGCAGCGAGCGAUCCCUCGAUUCAACAGUCCGUAGAUGUUUGCCUCCUCUCCGUGUUUUCCAUGUGACUCCAUAUCCCUUCACAUUAGUGCAGUCCGCCGCAAAGUAGCUGCAAGAAUCAGCACGCGGUCAACUGUGGCGGGGAAAAAAGAGGGGAAGAAAGAGAAAAUAUUUAAGGCCUUGCUCCCUCUGUCAGCUUUCACCUCCUUUCCCUUCUUGUUCUUGUUUUCACAGCCCUUAAUCCUGGCGGCUCCGACGCGGAGCGGUCACAGGUUUUGACAGCAGACUGUAAUGACCUAAGCUGUUCUCUGCGGGGGGUGGGAGGGGGGAGCCGGGUGAGGUGGUUCAGGAGGGGGAGUGAGCAGAAACAGGAAUGUUUAAUGAGAGGUCACUCGGCAUUUAUUUGAAGUUGGAGUGCAGUUUCACUUCUUGGCCACCGGGGGCGGAGGGGCUGAGUUUAGAGGUCCUGUUUGGGAACGAAGAACAACAUGUCAUGGAGCUCAGAUCUGAAGGUCAUAGAUCAGUCUCCUCCAUGUGAACCGAUGGAACAUGGGUCAACCUGUAAAAUGAAAACAUAAAUUUAAACAUGAUCUCAUAAACAGACUAUCAGAAAGACGAGGAAACAACUGUCAAUUCGUACGUUUACAUGACACUCCAGAAAACCGAAUUAUCGUCUUAUUCCGACAACUGAAGUGCAUGUAAACACCUUAGUCCUACUAUAGUCGGAGUUUGAGAACUUCGAUUAGAGAUCAUACGACUGGAAUUUUAUUUUCUCUACCAUGUAACCAGCGUAGUCUGAGUAUGAUCGGACAAUGCAUGUCCCCUUACGCCAGCGUUGGUCUCAUCUUUAGAAAAAGUAGCGCGUCCAUCAUGUCAGACAAAAACAACGCUGUACGAUGCUCCAUCUUCUUGUUUCUCCAAAAUGCCCAGCAGCAGUUGUAGACACUUCUGACGUCUGACACCGACCUGCUGUUGUUGUUGACGGUUGUAUGGGGUCGGAAACAGCGCCCCUGAAAAGACCCAUAUCGCCCCCUAGUGUUGGGGAGGAGGACACGUUCACGUCAAUAAUUCAGUUUUCUCAGCUGCAUGUAAACGAGGACGAGGAGAGAAGUCUGAUUCAGAGAAAAAAAAAAAAAUUAUGAGUUUAGUCUGAUUAAACUGAGACUGUAAACAUACUGAGUGAUUUCUUAAGGAUUUCCCAAAGUGAUUAAUUUAUCAGUUAUUUGAACAAAAAUCUAUAUAUAUUAUUGUUCUAUUGACUAUGUCUAUUUUAUUUUAAGUUGUUGAAAAGAUUUCAUUUAAAAGACGAUGUUUUUAAUUUAAUUUACUCCGUUUAGAGAAGAUUUGGCCUUGAGUAGCGGGGAAGUCGUCUGAUAAUUUUUGUUUAUCAAAGCUUACAAAGUCUGAACAUCUGAAAACUUUGUUUCUAGACUGUAAUGACGACAUCUUUAGUGUCACAGUGUUGUUACCUGUAAGAGUGGGGGUUAUGUACAAUAAGAGAGCCGUUACACCUCUGAAGUGGAGGUAUCGUUGUGUUUAUGGUUUAUAAACUCUGAUAAAACAAAGACCGCUGUAAACCAGCUGAGCACCAAAAUACCUCUCCUGGUUUUAGGCUGUGAACACGGAGCAUUUCCUCCUCUUCAAAUGGAAGGUGAAUGUCACUCGUAACCCUGACAGCUUAAUUGGUACACGGAGCCCUUGGUUGCCAUGCAACUGUUGGCUAAGGUGGAAGUAGGGAUAUUUCUGAAAAUAUAAAUAUAAAACUCAAUAAUGACAGCAUUUAAAGAAGAGAAGGGUCCAAUUUAGAAAUCAAUAGGAGCAGGAGCAUGUAUGUCUGCAUAUAGACCACAUAGUUACCCGGGUUUAUUGACAAGUUACUGCUGUGAUUGUCACCACGGUUCAUGUCCGAUUUAGCACCUCAACCACACUUCAAUCAGCAUGAGCGUUUUCCUCACAGGUAUAAGUGACGGGCUCCGGCAUCGAGGUGAGACCAGGAGGAGGACCCGGACUGAGUUUGACAGGGUCUACAAAGAACAGCACUUUUUUUCUGUCUACUGUGACUGAUGUGGUCUGCAGGGGGCGCCCAAAACUUCACAAUCUGGUUCAAACUGUGAACUUCGACCAUGUCCAGAUUCAAUGAUGACCAUUUCAACAAUAUGUGUUCUAUGAGCAGAGCGAGUCAAAGUCUAUUAAUCUGUAAAUUAACAAAUUUAACUGUUAACCAUCAGGAUGAGCAGGAAUAGACGAUAAAUCGUGAUUGUAUUUAAUCGUUAAAGUUUAUCAAGUUAUUUGUUGCUCCAUCUUCAUCUUACCUUUUCACAAUCUGACUGACCGUCUUGUUUUAUCGAGUUUUUCGUAAAUAUCCUAAUACUGCAGUUAUUUGGUCGUCAGGUCAAAUCUAGAAUUGUGAAUCUGGAUCACUAAAAGAGCCGGAAUCCUCAAUAAGACGGAUCCAAAACCUGCUCUGACAUGGUAAGACGGAUCACAGACAACCCGAGCAGGUCCGUAAUCCGCCACAAAAUUUCCCCCACAAAUGGAUCUAGUGAAAUUCGGCGGACGGUGAAAUUCGGCGCCGUUCCGGAUCGGAUCCGUUCUGGAUGCGGUAGAAAUUGGGGGUUAGUGGACUCUCUUCAUUAGGAGCACAGUCGGACACGUUGAUGUAAACUUUGUUGGAUGAUUUUAGAUAUUUUUACUUCCACGGACUCACUGAGGAGGGUUAAAGGUUCGAUCUGGAUUGUCUCGCCUCUUCUCUGUUUUCUUAUCCUCCUUUUUUUUCUUUUUUUCUUUCUUGACUCCAGACGAACCAACAAACGAAGUGGUGAGCCGGUGAACAUGUUGAAUUCAGAGGGACGGAUAUUUCAGGGGCAGGAGCCAGACCACAUAUAAAUGAUAAUUUUGCCCCAUGACAGCCGGUUGAACAAACAGUUAGCUGUUUGCUAACACUAAUAACACAACCGCCUCCAAACGGUGUAAAUAUGUCUGUAUUGUGACUAAAGCUUGUGCAGUUAUUCCCAAGAGCUGAAAAACUCAAUUAAAAAC